AUAAGCGGAGGAAAAGAAACCAACAGGGAUUGCCUCAGUAACGGCGAGUGAAGCGGCAAUAGCUCAAAUUUGAAAUCUGGCUCUUUCAGGGUCCGAGUUGUAAUUUGCAGAGGGCGCUUUGGUGUCGGCAGCAGCCUAAGUUCCUUGGAACAGGUCAUCAUAGAGGGUGAGAAUCCCGUAUGUGGCUGGUUGUCUUCACCGUGUAAAGCCCCUUCGAUGAGUCGAGUUGUUUGGGAAUGCAGCUCUAAAUGGGAGGUGAAUUUCUUCUAAAGCUAAAUAUUGGCCAGAGACCGAUAGCGCACAAGUAGAGUGAUCGAAAGAUGAAAAGCACUUUGGAAAGAGAGUCAAAAAGCACGUGAAAUUGUUGAAAGGGAAGCGCUUGCAGCCAGACGUGCCCGUAGUUGCUCAUCCGGGGUUUUCCCCGGUGCACUCUUCUGUGGGCAGGCCAGCAUCAGUUCUGGCGGUUGGAGAAAGGCCUGUGUCACGUAUCUGUCCUCGGACAGUGUUAUAGGGCAGGCGGAAUACAACCAGCUGGAACUGAGGUCCGCGCAUCUGCUAGGAUGCUGGCGUAAUGGCUGUAAGCGGCCCGUCUUGAAACACGGACCAAGGAGUCUAACAUCUAUGCGAGUGUUUGGGUGUCAAGCCCGAGCGCGUAAUGAAAGUGAACGGAGGUGGGAACCCUUCGGGGCGCACCAUCGACCGAUCCUGAUGUCUUCGGAUGGAUUUGAGUAAGAGCAUAGCUGUUGGGACCCGAAAGAUGGUGAACUAUGCCUGAAUAGGGUGAAGCCAGAGGAAACUCUGGUGGAGGCUCGCAGCGGUUCUGACGUGCAAAUCGAUCGUCAAAUUUGGGCAUAGGGGCGAAAGACUAAUCGAACUAUCUAGUAGCUGGUUCCUGCCGAAGUUUCCCUCAGGAUAGCAGUAACGUUUUCAGUUUUAUGAGGUAAAGCGAAUGAUUAGAGGCCUGGGGGUUGAAACAACCUUCACCUAUUCUCAAACUUUAAAUAUGUAAGAAGUCCUUGUUUCUUAA
rnacentral:rRNA from 1 species